AAAAUUAACAUGGCCAUGUGGAGCCCGACAAUUACAAUUCAACUUCUCAAUUCUCUGUGAUCGACUAAUCCACUAUAUCUUCUAUCUCUGUAACCCCCUCUUAAUCAAUGUUCUUUUUUGUCCAAAAAAAAAAUCAAUGUUCUUUUUAUACCUUCUGGCUGGUUUCGUUCCACCUUACGUUCAUCCUCCUCCUAUAUAAAUGGCUUCGUCUAAACCUAAAUCCUAUCAAAAUCGAAACCUAGCAGUAAGAUCAACUGAAACCACUAAUCACCGUAGAGCUCCUUCUGAUCGAUGAGCAGCCUCUGAGCAAUAAUAUUUUAAACGAUGGAGAUGACCACAAUCUCUAGUGUGGAAUUGGAAGAGGAUAAUUUUGGAGGAAGCUUAAGGUAUCAAGGGGCUGCCACUCGCCUAAUAGAUGCAUGUUGGACUCACGUUAUGUACUUUGAAAGUAAGCUUUAUCUCUCCCUCUCUUGAGUUUUAGUUUGUCUCAUACUCCUGGUUUCUUUAUCCACUUACGGACGAUUCACAAAUUCUCUGUGAGCUUAUCAGAUAGACUCAACACCGAAAGAUACACCUCUAAUUUGGUGUUGCUUUGUUUUAAUCCUCAAUCUAGAAUUUUGCACUACCUUACAUGUUCUAAGUAAGCUUUUUUUUAAUAAAUAAAUAUCUUAUUCGUUUAACUACAAGUGAAACAAUAGAAUUACAAAGAUUAAGUGAUUGUGAAUAGAUGGCUAAUAUAUAUAGUGAUAUGUAUUCCUGUGAAACUGUUUGGUGUCACUUUGUCCCCCUUUGACAGGAAAGAUUGAAUGGCACUUUCCACUUUUAUCUUCUAGGUCCCUGAAUCUACGAUCACACUUUGAUGGUCUAAUUAUCUUACUGCAAAAUUGAAUUAUUCCAGCUUUGAUUUACUUUGUAUAUGUUGUGUUAUGUUUCAUGGCUUUCUAUGCUUGAACGUGCAUUCUAUCAAUCAUAUUGACUUAUUUUCCUGUCUGAAAAUAUUUUUCUACAUUAUUUUUCUUAUGGAUUGGCUUCCUACUUCUUCAGGGAGGAGUAUAUUUUAAGUGGCUCACAAUAUAAAAAAAACUCCCUCAGAAAAUGUUUCAGGUACUGCAGAUGUUAAAUUUCAGCUAAUGCAUUUGUACGCGGCUAAAGUGAGAGUGACUUUGUUUUUCCUUCUCCUGAGUCUCCCAAGGUUUGGGAUUUUUUUUGCAUAAAAUGGGUAGAGGGAGAUGAAAGUAGCGUAGAAGAUAUUGCAGGGCACAUGAAGAAAAAUAACAUAUUUGGAUUGACGAGUGAAGACAUUUUAUUGGUAAAAUCAAAUUCAGCAUCAAUUCAACGUUCAUGAGAGAGAGGCAUACAAAGUAGCUAAAAAAAUAUUGACCAAGGUGAAGUUGUUGAACCAGACAAGGUUUCCUAUGGACUAAUGGAAAAGGGUUGAUUUGAUGGUCUGAUAACAAUAUCUCAAGAAAGAGAAUGACGAUGUGGAUGUCAAAUUUGGUAAAGGCUGGCUGCUUCUUUACAGGAUUGACAUAGAAAGGUCACACAUGAUGAAGUUGCAGCUGCCGCGAUGUACGAUCAUUCAGAUUCAAUCGUGUUUCAGUGGUGUUGCUGUGUGAAUGGUGAUGGAAUAUGCAGACAAUAUUGUAUAUUUGAUAAACUGGCAAAUACAUAUUCAAUUCGCCAGCAGAUCCUUGAGCAGUAGUUCAUUUUUGUACAUGGAAUUUAAUCUUUAUCAGUCUGUAUCUAGGUUUAUUUCACAUAGUGGAACUGCUUAUCACUGCAGUUCUCUCUAUUGUCUAUGUAUACUUAUUCAGUUUUCAUGUAUCCUUAGCUUUCUACCUGGAUUCAAGUAAGUUAACCGCAUUUUCCUCUGUCAAUACAAUUCACAUUUUACUCA